GAGCAUUCUCGGUUUUGCUUCUCCAAAGCGACCAUUAGUACAGUGACCGCCAAAGUCGAAAAGUUAGAUAUGUAGAUACGAUGGAGAUGGACAAAAGACGUACUGGAUCUGCUCCCGUUGCCAUCGUCCUAAUAAGCAUGAGGAACCGCAGGCCGUCGAAAGAGCUGGGCUGGUCUGAGCAAGCGGAUUCAAUGCAGUAGCACUCGAGCCAAAGAAAACGUCCGGAACCUCUUUAUAUCACGUCUCCCUGAAUUAGCAAAACAUACCAGGCGAAAAUAUGGGGAAAAAAAAAAGAAAGAAAUGGGGGUGGGAAAUAAAAACAAUGAGAUGAACUUUCUUUUUUUAGAAAUCGCAAGGUAUUCCCAGCACCAGGAAUAAUUAUUGCUCGAGCAUUGAUUCAGUUCGUGCUUCCAAGAAUUUUUAAAAUUCCAUCUUUUAGGUAAAA